UCCUUAUUUUUUUUGGGUCCAUUUCAGCUGCGAAUUACUUCUACUGAUAUUGCAGGUUAGCUCACCCUUUUUCGCACCUCCCGUGUUCCUCUAGCGCUGUAUCUCUCUUCUUUCUGCUUUCCUCCUACGCGAAACCCUAACCCGACCCGGCGUCGUCAGUGGUUGUUCUUCUGCUAUUGCGACAAUGGGAGUGAUCGGAGAUGGGUGCUAUAAUGGGGAUUGAGGUGAUCGGGGUGAAUGGGGAAAAUCGAGGAGGAGCAGUUCUUCGACGUGGUGCUUGCGUCGCCGGAGCCUGCGCUGGAAAAUGCUGAUCGGAGAUGUUCACCAUGCCGGUCGGUAGGGAGGGUCGUGAGCUGUAGAUGCAUUGCGGCGCUGCUCUUCGGGGUAGCUGUGCUGCUCUCGGGUAUUUUAUGGCUGCCGCCGUUCUUUAGGCGUGGCUCCGGCGCGGCGGGCAUCGAUCGUGACCCGCAGCACGGAGCUGAUGUGGUGGCUAGUUUCAGACUACAAAAGCCCAUCUCUUUAUUGAAUGCAAAUAUUGCCAAGCUUCAAUUUGACAUCUUUAAUGAAAUCGGUGUUCCAAAUACUACUGUAGCUGUUAUUUACCUGGAUCCUUUCAGAAUAAACACAACCGAUGUUGUGUUUGGGGUGUGGCCUUAUCCAAAGAAUUUGAAUAUAUCAACCGGGCUGAGCAUUCUCAAGUCUUCUUUUGUGUCGUUGGUUCUACAGCAGUCUACCCUACACUUGACGACACCUUUGUUUGGAAGCUCAUACUUUUUCCAGAUUUUAGAAUUUCCUGGAGGGAUUACUAUAGUACCACCACAAGUUGCUUUCCUUCUGCAGAAAGAGCAUAUGCUUUUCAAUUUUACAUUGAAUUUUCCAAUAUACCAAGUGCAAGACAAAGUUGAUGAACUGAAGGUCCAGAUGAAGUUUGGUUUACAUCUAAAAUCUUAUGAGAUUUUGUUUGUCAAAUUGACAAAUACAAAGGGUUCUACUGUGGCUCCGCCUACAGUUGUUGAGACAUCCAUUGUGCUUGCGGUUGGGAAUAAUCAGCCAUCAGUGCCAAGGUUGAAGCAAUUGGCUCAAACUAUCAGAAAUUCCUCCGCAGGAAAUCUUGGCCUAAAUCACAGUGUGUUUGGUAGAGUGAAGCAGAUUCGUCUUUCCUCAUUCCUUCAACGUUCUUUAAAUGGUGGGGCUGGUUCUUCCUUGUCACCUAGUCCAGCUCCUCAACCUAGCGUAGAUGCUCAUCACCAUCAUCCUAACAUGGGUGCUCAUCGUCAUCAUCAUUCCAAUAUUCACGACCAUUGGCACCAUUCUGAUGUGCAUUCUGUACCUGCACCUUCCCCAAAACCCUUAUUUACUCAUCUUGCUCCACCUCCAUCUGGCUGUGAUUUUGGAUUUUCUAGAAACCACCAAAAAAAACGCGAGAUUGUUCCUGUUGCAGCACCUGCAGCCACACAUCUAAUACCUGCUCCUCCACCAAAUGAAGCUGCACCUUCACCUUCACCACAUUUGCACCCAAAAUCAGAUCUGCCACAUAUCAUUUUUUCUCGUGCAAAGCCUCCAAGUGAAAGUGUAAGCCAUAUCAAACCUCAGGAUGGGGCUUCAUCGAUUUCGACUUCACCGUCUUCAUGCUGAUUGCUUGGCUCGAUAUCAAUGUGGAUGAUGAUAUGAAGUUGCCGCACAGACAAAUGUUAAUACGCCGGCUACUGAGCAACAUUUGCCGUUGGGCUAACAAAAACCCAUUGGAUUUUUGGACUACUCGUACAUCUAAUGGUACCCUUAUAAAUACUGGAGGAAAAUUUUGUUUUCAGGAUUCAGACCUCACCUAAGGAAGAUGAGCUCAUCGGUCUGCAACGCUGAUGUGUUAAGACACAGAAGUUUGCGUUUGAAUGCCACACAAGCAAUGAAAUGCCCUUUUCUCAGCCUGUAAUUCUAAUAGAUGUAAUGUAUAGAAGGAUAAAUAUGUUGUUAACAAAAUAUAUUUCAUGGUCGAAGCCACACUGGUGGCAGGCCCUUGUCAAAUCUUGUAGCACCGCCUUGCUUUCCAUGUACCGUUAUGCAAAUACCAAGAGAAAAGAAGUAUAUUUUUUUGUUUAAUAGAAGUAAAAGGAAAAUGUGAUCGUUACAAUCUUUUUUGCAAUUAA